rnacentral:rRNA from 1 species
UACGGGGGGGGCGAGCGUUGUUCGGAAUUACUGGGCGUAAAGGGUUUGUAGGUGGCCUGCUAAGUCAGACGUGAAAUCCCUCAGCUUAACUGGGGAACUGCGUCUGAUACUGGAUGGCUUGAGUUUGGGAGAGGGAUGCGGAAUUCCAGGUGUAGCGGUGAAAUGCGUAGAUAUCAGGAGGAACACCGGUGGCGAAGGCGCCACUCUGGGCCGAAACUGACGCUGAGGAGCGAAAGCGUGGGUAGCAAACAGG